rnacentral:rRNA from 1 species
UACGUAGGGUGCGAGCGUUAAUCGGAAUUACUGGGCGUAAAGGGCGCGUAGGCGGCCACCGCAAGUCAGUUGUGAAAUCUCUGGGCUUAACCCAGAACGGUCAGCUGAUACUGCGGGGCUAGAGUGCAGAAGGGGCAACUGGAAUUCCGGGUGUAGCGGUGGAAUGCGUAGAGAUCCGGAGGAAGACCGGUGGCGAAGGCGGCCUGCUGGGCAGUUACUGACACUGAGGCGCGACAGCGUGGGGAGCAAACAGG